rnacentral:lncRNA from 1 species
CAGCAGCUGGAAAAGAAUGUGGGAGCUAAUGGAGGGUUUUCUGAAAAUGGCAGACAUUUGGGAAGGUUUGUAUUCUGCUGAGAGAAUGAUCCAGCAGAAGGGAAAAGAACUGGCAGAGGGGACGAUUCCUGGAGUGACGCUCUAGUGCAGGCAGUAGGCAGAUACCUGCAAAUAAAGCUAGUGCAACUCUCACAGCCACACUAUGCCAGGGGCACAGGAUUCUUAGAGAGGAAAACUGUCUCUCGUUUGUUCCAUUUAAGGGACUCACAGAAGUGAAUCUGGGGUACUUCCUCAUUCUUGGGAAACUUCUGCCUGAAAACACCCUCCUUUCUAUGACCAGGGCUUACAUCAGCCACGAUUAUUCUUCAUAAUAAUAAUCCCCCAUAACACUAACAUAGCACCCUUUUCCCAAGGGAGGACUUCCGUUUUAACGUAAACAAUUGUGGGGUUUUUUUGUUUUUUAAGAGAAAAUAAUAAAAAUAAGAUCAGCCCAUAAUCCCACUAACCAGAUAUCUGUUAAUAUUUUUAAUAGACGUGAUAAAAUGAAAAGUAGAUGCCUCCCUCCCCACUCCGAGUCCUAUUCCCUAACAACAACCAGUUCUUUAUCUUUCUAGUAAUAAUAAUAAUAAUAAUGCUAUAUAUUAUCAGUAGAUACGUGUUUGAAUAAAAAUUCAUACGUGAAAAACAUCAUAACAUAAAAAGCAUCGUGUUGUAAAUACUACUCUGCACUUUACUGUUUAUACUUGGUAAUAUAUCUUGGCAAUCUUUAUCAACAUUUUUAUUUAAUGGCCACCGGCACUUUUUAAAAACUGCUUUGCUGUGUAUCAUAGCUUAGUCUCACUGAAACACGUUGAGAACAGAUCUCAUUUUGCAGGCGAUGAAACCAACUCGGAGCGAGAUUAAAUGACCUGUCCAAGGUCUCACGAGAGUUGGAAGCUGAGGCCUAUUAGAUGCCGGGUUCCUUUCACUCCCUGUGCCACAGCGCCUCCCAGUGGCAUUGAGGUAAAAAAGAAAGUGAAGAUCCUGGACAUUCCACAGAUUGGAUCAUCAGGCCCUAAUAUCCAGAAUUGACUGUAUUAU